AAUUCGAAGCAACGCGAAGAACCUUACCAGGUCUUGACAUCCCUGACAACCCGAGAGAUCGGGCGUUCCCCUUCGGGGGACAGGGUGACAGGUGGUGCAUGGUUGUCGUCAGCUCGUGUCGUGAGAUGUUGGGUUAAGUCCCGCAACGAGCGCAACCCUCGACCUUAGUUGCCAGCAUUCAGUUGGGCACUCUAAGGUGACUGCCGGCUAAAAGUCGGAGGAAGUGGGGAUGACGUCAAAUCAUCAUGCCCCUUAUGACCUGGGCUACACACGUGCUACAAUGGGCGGUACAAAGGGUCGCGAACCCGCGAGGGGGAGCCAAUCCCAAAAAGCCGCUCUCAGUUCGGAUUGCAGGCUGCAACUCGCCUGCAUGAAGCCGGAAUCGCUAGUAAUCGCGGAUCAGCAUGCCGCGGUGAAUACGUUCCCGGGCCUU
rnacentral:rRNA from 1 species